rnacentral:rRNA from 1 species
GUGUCAGCAGCCGCGGUAAAACGUAGGAGACAAACGUUAUCCGGAGUUACUGGGCGUAAAGGGCGUGCAGGCGGUCAUUUAAGUUCGGCGUGAAAGCUUCUGGCUAAACCGGGAGAGGUCGUCGGAGACUGGAUGGCUAGAGGGUGAUAGAGGUGGGUGGAAUUCCGGGUGUAGUGGUGAAAUGCGUAGAGAUCCGGAGGAACACCAGUGGCGAAGGCGACCCACUGGAUCACCCCUGACGCUGAGACGCGACAGCAUGGGGAGCGAACGGGAUUAGAAACCCGGGUAGUCC